rnacentral:rRNA from 1 species
AAUAUAUAAGACCGGCGCACGGGUGCGUAACGCGUAUGCAACCUACCUUUUACAGGGGGAUAGCCCAGAGAAAUUUGGAUUAAUACCCCAUGGUAUAUUUUAGUGGCAUCACUAGAUUAUUAAAGUUCCAACGGUAAAAGAUGGGCAUGCGUCCUAUUAGCUAGAUGGUAAGGUAACGGCUUACCAUGGCUACGAUAGGUAGGGGUCCUGAGAGGGAGAUCCCCCACACUGGUACUGAGACACGGACCAGACUCCUACGGGAGGCAGCAGUGAGGAAUAUUGGACAAUGGGCGCAAGCCUGAUCCAGCCAUGCCGCGUGCAGGAAGAAGCAUCUAUGGUGUGUAAACUGCUUUUGUACAGGAAGAAACACUCCCUCGUGAGGGAGCUUGACGGUACUGUAAGAAUAAGGAUCGGCUAACUCCGUGCCAGCAGCCGCGGUAAUACGGAGGAUCCAAGCGUUAUCCGGAAUCAUUGGGUUUAAAGGGUCCGUAGGCGGUUUGGUAAGUCAGUGGUGAAAGCCCAUCGCUCAACGGUGGAACGGCCAUUGAUACUGCCAGACUUGAAUUACUGGGAAGUAACUAGAAUAUGUAGUGUAGCGGUGAAAUGCUUAGAGAUUACAUGGAAUACCAAUUGCGAAGGCAGGUUACUACCAGUGGAUUGACGCUGAUGGACG